rnacentral:lncRNA from 13 species
GUCCUUUUUGCAUUUUCUUGGGAUUUCUAAGUAUAUUACCAUAGAUAAAUUUUAAGGGCUAUUUGAGCUUACAUAAUUUUUUUUUUUUUUUUGAGACAGAGUCUCAUUCUGUUGCCCAGGCUGGAGUGCAGUGGCCUGAUCUCAGCUCACUGCAACCUCUGCUGCCCAGGUUCAGGUGAUUAUCCUGCCUCAGCCUCCCGAGUAGCUGGGAUUAUAGGUGCCUGCCACCUGGUUAAUUUUUGUAGUUUUGGUAGAAACAGGGUUUCACCAUCUUGGCCAGGCUGGUCUUGAACUCCUGACCGCAUGAUCCAUCCACCUCAGCCUCCCAAAGUGCUGGGAAAACAGGCAUGAGCCACCGCUCCCAGCUUAAGCUUACAUAACCUUAAAAGGAAAAUAUUUUCUAAAUCUUCUCUAGAUCUCUAUUCUCUGCUAUAACUCACUGGGCAGCAGUUCCUUUAUUUAUUCCAUAAUGUCUUUCAUUUCAGAUCCAGAAUGUAUUUCACCAGAAGGCAAAGUAGGAAACAGUCUAUUUUUAAAGACGAUGAGAUAGUGCUCCUUAUUUUAAAAGAACAAAACAAAGAAAAAAAAACAAGUUAUGUUCAAAAUGAAACAUUAACAAAAACCUAAUUGUCCAAUGAGAGAUAAAGUAAAUAUACAUGUAAAUAUUCCAAGAAGAAGCCAUGCACAGAAUUAUGAUAUAUUACUACCACAAUAUCCCCUGGAGAGUGGAGAAGGAAAGAUGGAGAAUACCAGGGAGCAAAAAUGGACCGGAAGCACAAAAGCAAAAGGCAAGGGGACAAUAAAAGAUGCAGAACUAAGGCAUAUCUUAAAGACAAUUGCAUGUUCAGUUCCAGAUGAGCACAAGAAAGAGAGUAUCAUGAUACAGGAGUCAUAUGAACUGUUUCAUCUUCUAAUGCUUCUUAUGUACAUAAUCCAACUUGCUCUGCCUUCCAACUCCAUCCCAUGCCAACCAUGUGCUUCCCUGCCUUUCAAUCAUCACUGCUUCCAACAAUGA